UACGGAGGGUGCGAGCGUUGUUCGGAAUCACUGGGCGUAAAGCGCGUGUAGGCGGCCUUGUAAGUCUGGUGUGAAAGCCCGGGGCUUACCCCCGGAAGUGCACUGGAGACUGCAAGGCUGGAGUACCGGAGAGGAAGGUGGAAUUCCUGGUGUAGCGGUGAAAUGCGUAGAUAUCAGGAGGAACACCGGUGGCGAAGGCGGCCUUCUGGACGGAUACUGACGCUGAGACGCGAAAGCGUGGGGAGCAAACAGG
rnacentral:rRNA from 1 species